AUUGAACGCUGGCGGCAUGCUUUACACAUGCAAGUCGAACGGUAACAGGCCGCAAGGUGCUGACGAGUGGCGAACGGGUGAGUAAUGCAUCGGAACGUGCCCAGUCGUGGGGGAUAACUACUCGAAAGAGUAGCUAAUACCGCAUACGAUCUAUGGAUGAAAGCGGGGGACCGUAAGGCCUCGCGCGAUUGGAGCGGCCGAUGUCAGAUUAGGUAGUUGGUGGGGUAAAGGCUCACCAGGCCAACGAUCUGUAGCUGGUCUGAGAGGACAACCAGCCACACUGGAACUGAGACACGGCCCAGACUCCUAGGGGAGGCAGCAGUGGGGAAUUUUGGAAAAUGGGCGCAAGCCUGAUCCAGCAAUGCCGCGUGCAGGAAGAAGGCCUUCGGGUGGUAAACUGCUUUUGUAGGGAACGAAACGGCUCUGGUUAAUACCCGGGGCUAAUGACGGUACCGUAAGAAUAAGCACCGGCUAACUACGU
rnacentral:rRNA from 1 species